AAAGGAAUAGACGGGGACCCGCACAAGCGGUGGAGCAUGUGGUUUAAUUCGAAGCAACGCGAAGAACCUUACCAAGUCUUGACAUCCCACUGACCGACCAGUAACGUGGUCUUCUCUUCGGAGCAGUGGAGACAGGUGGUGCAUGGUUGUCGUCAGCUCGUGUCGUGAGAUGUUGGGUUAAGUCCCGCAACGAGCGCAACCCUUAUCUUUAGUAGCCAGCAGUAAGAUGGGCACUCUAGAGAGACUGCCGGGGAUAACCCGGAGGAAGGCGGGGAUGACGUCAAAUCAUCAUGCCCCUUAUGAUUUGGGCUACACACGUGCUACAAUGGCGUAAACAAAGAGAAGCGAAGUCGUGAGGCGAAGCAAAUCUCAAAAAUAACGUCUCAGUUCGGAUUGUAGUCUGCAACUCGACUACAUGAAGCUGGAAUCGCUAGUAAUCGCAGAUCAGAAUGCUGCGGUGAAUACGUUCCCGGGUCUUGUACACACCGCCCGU
rnacentral:rRNA from 1 species